UGACCAGACCCCUGAGCGGUGGUGUUCAGA
rnacentral:piRNA from 1 species